rnacentral:lncRNA from 1 species
GCCCCAUGAUUGAUACAGAGGACUGUCAUAUGAACCAGAGAGGGUAAUUGAAACCAAAGAAAGGCCUCUGGUGUGUAGCCAAAGGCAUGCCACCAGGGGUGAGAAGGAGCAGAUGUCUUGACAAACAGGGCAUGAGACCAGCUGUGCGUGGUCAGCCUCUGAUUUGGGCCCAAAAGGAAAAGAAAUUCAGAGGAGACAGUGACUCUCAGACUCUCCCUUGUUAAUGAGCAAGAGUUCCCUGGAUCCAAGAGCUAUUUGGCUGCUCAAAAUUUUAAAUGUGCCAUGGGAGACAUUUAGCUGUGGUGAAGUGAGUGAAGUUGCUCAGUCGUGUCCGACUCUUUGCGACCUCAUGGACUGUAGCCUACCAGGCUCCUCUGUCCAUGGGAUUUUCCAGGCAAUAGUACUGGAGUGGGAUGCCAUUUCCUUCUCCAGGGGAUCUUCCCAACCCAGGGAUCGAACCCCGGUCUUCCUCAUUGUAGACAGACGCUUUACCAUCUAA